GAGGCUUAUAGGAGGAGGAAAAUGAGAAUGCAGCAUUCCUAUCUCAGUAGCUUGAUUACAGACAAAUUUAGGUUGUGGUGGAAAAGUAUUAAAGGGCUUGCAUUACAGAAAAUAUUGACACCAAAGUCCCCUUAAUGGUUGUCCUUUAUAAGAUAUGGAAUUUUGUAAAGAAUUUCAAGGUUUAAUUUGCCAACUCUUUUAGGUUUGUUGUAUUAUUGUGCACUUAAUCUAUUUAUACAUACUUCUUAAAUUCCGUGAUUUGAAAAUGACAGAGAACACAAAUGCAAAUAACUUCACACAUAACCCUCAUACUAUUGGGAAUGGAACCAGGAAAGACUACACCUUCUCUGUAGAGGUGUAUUUCCAGUAAAUCAAAUUGCAGACAGUUUAAAACAUGAUGCUCAAACUGAGACCUCAUAUGCGAGUGAAAAUGAACUGACUAUAGAGAUGUGACUCACUAUAAAGAGCCAGAAUUCCAACAAUCUUCAAAUCUGAUUUUUUUAAAAGUGAGCUUUCCGGAAACAGAUCUAUCUAAAGCUUGGCGAGACGAGAACCCCAUAACAACCAUCUAGAUAACUGUGCCUUCACUAGCAUGUCACUUAUUUCCUCCUUACUUGAUUCUCUGACUUGUUCUUGAAGGAAGCAAGGAUGCCUCCUGCCUACAUUUGGGUCUUGGAUUGACUCACUACAUCACAGGACUGCUGGGCUCCAGGAUGCGAAGAUCCAGCCACAACUGGCACCAGAGAACAAGAGAAGCUUCCUUUCCAUCUCUGGUGGCCUGCUCACCAAAGACCCUCUGGUCCCGUCAACUUGGUGUUAACUCUUGGGUGUAAAUGCCUUUGAGAAAAUACCCACUGCACCUCCUACAGUGAAUCCCACUGCUCACACAGGGUUUGUAUGAAGUCUGCCCUUUAUGGGCCAUCUACACAUCUCCUGUAUAAGAUACAGAAGGUGAGUCUACAGUCGUACAUAGGAAGAGCGACCUAGGAUUUAGUGGGCCAAAUACAACCACGAAACGUCGCCUGGCAGCCUGAUUCCACAAACGCUGUAACCUUCCUCCUCCCUCCUGUGGGGACUAGGAAAGAAAAGAGAAAGAGAGGCACAGCCUCUGGUCUCGGAGGUAGGCAGGAAUGGAGGGGUUUCUAAGGGCAGGUCAUCUCCUUUCAACAAACUCAGAGAUUUGGCAAGUCACCAGGUAAUUCUUUCAACCACAAAAUCCGCAGGCAACACAAUUUAAAAUCUCUUGGCAGAGACUUCCGGAAGUGCUUCCUCCCUUCUUUCUCUGGAGCUCCAGCUGCAGGACCACCGUGAGGAAGCUGUCACCGCCGCUAAGGCUGGCUGCCCUCUCUGGGAGUUGCACUUCCUUCCUCCGGUCCCUAAUCUGAGGACUGCUGGAUUGCAGACUUGGAAUAUUGGAGAUUGCGGAGGACGUGACACUUGACCCUGCAACCCGAACCCCGCAGGGGCAGCCGCCGCCUUGCAAAGUAGCAGUCCCCGAGCAGCGCCGCGCGGCGGUGGCCGGCCAAGCCCUCCGGGAGCUCUCCGGGUCCCCUUCCUCGCCCCCACCCCCGCCUUGCUCGCAGCUUGCCUCUGUCGACCCCUUCCCGCAGCCGCGUUUCAAUCAAACUCACUGAGACGGCACCGAGCGGGCGCCGGGGACAAGAAACGCCUCGCCAGCGACAACGCGCGAACAAGCGGAGCCGCGGGCCCCGGCGCCUCCGCCCACACGCGCCCCGCGUGCUGAAACCCGCACCUGGCCCACGGGUAGCCGGAAAAGCCGGGUCCCGGCCCGCCCGCCGGGCCGCCCCUGCUCCCGCUCCCCCAGCUCCAAGCGCUGCGGCUCAGAAACCCACCCGCCCGGCCCAGCCCCCGCCGGAGCCCUGCACCUUGGGGAGCCGGAGGCUGGGGAGGGGACCAGAGAAGGGGAAGAAGGGGCAUCGCCCUUCUUCCUACCCUGGGACAGCGCCUGGACUGGAGCUGGGUGCCGAGGAAACGACGGGAAGAGCUGACAGAGAGGCGGAGGGAGAAAAGAAAGGAAAAGAGGCAGAGACGAGGAAGGGAAGAAAGGGAUCCGAAGUGACCCGCCCUCGGGCCUCCGCGCCGGUGAUGCCCCGCGCCCAGGGCGAGGCCGUGCUUCGCGGGCAUGAGAAGCCAGGAGGCAGCGGAGUGCGGGUCUGGGGCACCGGGGACAUUGCCAAACAUAAUUGGGGUGCCAAACUGGGCUUCUUAAUCUCGAAGCCAGGAUGGGCGGGUGUGGCCGGGGGUGCGCGGGGUCAGCCAGCUUGGGGUGCUUUCCUUCGGGGCUCACACCGGCAGCGCGGACCGGCCGAGGCCGCUGGGACUGCAAGUCCGCCGCCUGCUUUUGUUCUGGGUUCUGCUGUAAUUUAACAUAAAACGCCUGUUAGAAUCACUGCUGCCGAAACACGCGUUUCUCCUUGUUUUGCCACCAACUAACAGGAUUAGGCAACAAGAGCGAGAUUUCAAAUUAACCAUAAAAAUGACAAAUUGCAAUUCAUUUAGCUGCCCACUUACUACAUUAAAAAACAUAAAUAAAUGAAUCUGCGUAUUCAGAGGGUUGAACGGCCCGCAAGGAAGCGAAAGCGGUUGAACUCAGGCCUCCGGGUGGGAGUCAGGGCUGUGGCGCUGGCGAGAGCGGGCCGCCGCGGAAUUCGCACCGUCUUCCAAGGGCCCGGAAAGAGGC
rnacentral:lncRNA from 1 species